AAUGGUCAUAUUCUUUAAAAUAUUUUUAAAACAGAGGACUAUGGGAUCUGGCUUCUACCUUGGCCAUGGCAACUGAGAUCAAAGCAUGCGAGCAGGCUCCAGAGAGAAGACAGACACCCACAGCGCUGCCACCAACUACCCAGGAUGCAGGAAUUUCAAUAUGAAGCAGCGUCUUUAUGAACCAAGCACAGUAUUUAUCCCAGCGUGGCUCUGUCUAUAUAGUAAUAUGUAAGUUAUUUCUAAACAUUUGUGACUCCUAAGAUUGGCACAUGGAAAUGUUAGUGAAAUUACUAUUUUUUUUUGUGGAAGAAAAAACUUACAAAAUAGAGGUCUACAAAAUGGAAGA